rnacentral:ncRNA from 1 species
CAAAAGACUGGGAACGGGAAGAGUAGGCGGUGAGCCCUUCAGAGAGCGGAAUUUGUAAUUGCUGUGAACUUCCGCAGGAUGCAGCCCCCGAAGUCGCCCCGGAGUCGCCCCUCUAAGCCUGUAUUCAUCAUAUGAAAACCAGGGUAGGAUGUGGCCGGACGCAGCCGUUAUCUGCAUGAGUGUCGCGUUAAGCUUCUGGAACCGUAUGGGACCGGAGCGGAGGUUUAUUUUGUAUAGCGCGAAACAAAGGUGGUACCGCGAAAGAAUGACCUUUCGUCCUUUGA